rnacentral:rRNA from 1 species
UACGAAGGGGGCUAGCGUUGCUCGGAAUUACUGGGCGUAAAGGGCGCGUAGGCGGACAGUUUAGUCAGAGGUAAAAGCCCAGGGCUCAACCUUGGAACUGCCUUUGAUACUGGCUGUCUUGAGUUCGGGAGAGGUGAGUGGAAUGCCGAGUGUAGAGGUGAAAUUCGUAGAUAUUCGGAAGAACACCAGUGGCGAAGGCGACACACUGGCCCGUAACUGACGCUGAGGCGCGAAAGCGUGGGGAGCAAACAGG